GGGUAUGAUCCCGGCUCAGGGUGAACGCUAGCGGCGCGCCUAAUACAUGCAAGUCGUGCGAUCGGACCCGGUGAAGCCCCUUCGGGGGUGGAACUGGGUUACGGAGCGGCGAACGGGUGAGUAACACGUAGCUAACCUGCCCCCGCGACGGGGAUAACCCGGGGAAACCCGGGCUAAUACCCGAUGGUCUCCCGGGGUCAAAAGAUCCCGGGAGUAAAGGCGCUUCGGCGCCGCGCGGGGAGGGGGCUGCGGCCCAUCAGCUAGACGGUGGGGUAAUGGCCUACCGUGGCUAUGACGGGUAGGGGGCCUGAGAGGGUGGCCCCCCACAUGGGGACUGAGACACGGCCCUGACUCCUACGGGAGGCAGCAGUAGGGAAUCUUGGGCAAUGCCGGAAACGGUGACCCAGCGACGCCGCGUGGGGGACGAAGCCCUUCGGGGUGUAAACCCCUUUUCUGGGGGAAGAAUAAGGCGGGGAGGAAAUGCCCCGCCGAUGACGGUACCCCAGGAAUAAGCCCCGGCUAACUACGUGCCAGCAGCCGCGGUAAGACGUAGGGGGCGAGCGUUACCCGGAUUCACUGGGCGUAAAGGGCGUCUAGGCGGUUCGGCAAGUCGCCUGUGAAAGCCCCUGGCUCAACUGGGGGAGGUCGGGCGAUACUGCCGGGCUAGAGGGCGGCAGAGGAAGGUGGAACGGCCGGAGUAGCGGUGAAAUGCGUAGAUACCGGCCGGUACCCCGAUGGCGAAGGCAACCUUCUGGGCCGUUCCUGACGCUGAAGCGCGAAAGCGUGGGGAGCGAACCGGAUUAGAUACCCGGGUAGUCCACGCCCUAAACGAUGUGGGCUAGGUGUCGGCCCGGCAGAGGGUCGGUGCCGCAGCUAACGCGUUAAGCCCACCGCCUGGGGAGUACGGCCGCAAGGCUGAAACUCAAAGGAAUUGACGGGGGCCCGCACAAGCGGUGGAGCAUGUGGUUUAAUUCGACGCAACGCGAAGAACCUUACCUGGGCUUGACAUGCCGGUGGUAGGAGCCCGAAAGGGUGACGACCCCUCCUUGAGGGGGGAGCCGGCACAGGUGCUGCAUGGCUGUCGUCAGCUCGUGCCGUGAGGUGUUGGGUUAAGUCCCGCAACGAGCGCAACCCCUAUCCCCUGUUGCCAGCGGUUCGGCCGGGCACUCUGGGGAAACUGCCGGCGAAGAGCUGGAGGAAGGUGGGGAUGACGUCAAGUCAUCAUGGCCCUUAUGCCCAGGGCGACACACGUGCUACAAUGGCCGCUACAAAGGGCUGCGAACCCGUGAGGGGGAGCCAAUCCCAAAAAAGCGGUCUCAGUUGGGAUCGGAGUCUGCAACCCGACUCCGUGAACGCGGAAUCGCUAGUAAUCGCGGGUCAGCCAUACCGCGGUGAAUACGUUCCCGGGCCUUGUACACACCGCCCGUCACACCACGAAAGCCUGCUGUACCCGAAGCCGGUGAGCCAACCCCCAAAAGGGGAGGCAGCCGUCGAAGGUAUGGCCGGUGAUUGGGGUGAAGUCGUAACAAGGUAGCCGUAGGGGAACCUGCGGCUG
rnacentral:rRNA from 1 species